rnacentral:rRNA from 1 species
AACGAACGCUGGCGGCAGGCCUAACACAUGCAAGUCGAACGGGAUCUUCGGAUCUAGUGGCGGACGGGUUAGUAACGCGUGGGAACGUACCCUUUUCUACGGAAUAGCCUCGGGAAACUGAGAGUAAUACCGUAUACGCCCUUCGGGGGAAAGAUUUAUCGGAGAAGGAUCGGCCCGCGUAAGAUUAGAUAGUUGGUGGGGUAAUGGCCUACCAAGUCUACGAUCUUUAGCUGGUUUGAGAGGAUGAUCAGCAACACUGGGACUGAGACACGGCCCAGACUCCUACGGGAGGCAGCAGUGGGGAAUCUUAGACAAUGGGGGAAACCCUGAUCUAGCCAUGCCGCGUGAGUGACGAAGGCCUUAGGGUCGUAAAGCUCUUUCGCUGGGGAAGAUAAUGACUGUACCCAGUAAAGAAACCCCGGCUAACUCCGUGCCAGCAGCCGCGGUAAUACGGAGGGGGUUAGCGUUGUUCGGAAUUACUGGGCGUAAAGCGCGCGUAGGCGGACUGGAAAGUUGGGGGUGAAAUCCCGGGGCUCAACCCCGGAACGGCCUCCAAAACUAUCAGUCUAGAGUUCGAGAGAGGUGAGUGGAAUUCCGAGUGUAGAGGUGAAAUUCGUAGAUAUUCGGAGGAACACCAGUGGCGAAGGCGGCUCAC